rnacentral:lncRNA from 12 species
GCAAGUGUAUCUAGAACGAAAGAAACCCUAGAACAAUUCCGAGGACUUGGUCUGUCUCCAGAUGGAUGGAAGAAAGAAAAUUCUGCAAUCUUUCAGUCUUUCAGGGCUCAGAAGCCAAGCAGCCCAACACAGAGACUGCAGAGAAAGGCCUGCUGAGCUGGGAAAGUGGAAUCAUCAAUCUCCCAAUUCCUGUGGUUUGAGUGGGCUUACCACAUCCAUUUGCCUCAGGAGUACACACAUGUCUCAAGCAUGGGCAAUAAAGUCCUCCAUUCUCUCUGCCACCAAGGAAUAAGCAUGGCACCCAAGAUGAACUGUUAAGAGCCCUCUGUGAAAGUAUUCUAUCAGAGAAAUUUUAAGAUACUAACUUUCCAUCACAAGGUACAUGUUCCAAGUAUGCAACAGCUGCGUGAGGCCAUCUUCUCUGGUUAAUAUGGGGGAGCCUUGUAGGAGAGAAAAUGUGGCUAAUAUGCCAUCUGCAGGAGAGGCAGAGAGAUUGCUAAUAAAAAUCAUGUGGCUCCCUGAGCCCA